GGGGAUAUUGCUCAGUGGCACAGCACCAGUUUAGCAAGCAUGAGGUUAUGUGUUCAAUUCUCAGUGUCUCCU
rnacentral:tRNA from 1 species